rnacentral:rRNA from 1 species
GGAAUAUUGCGCAAUGGGGGGAACCCUGACGCAGCGACGCCGCGUGGGUGAGGAAGGCUUUCGGGUCGUAAAACCCUGUCAGAAGGGAAGAAGUGCUUGCAAGUUAAUACCUUGUAGGUUUGACGGUACCUUCAAAGGAAGCACCGGCUAACUCCGUGCCAGCAGCCGCGGUAAUACGGAGGGUGCAAGCGUUGUUCGGAAUCACUGGGCGUAAAGGGCGCGUAGGCGGCUUGGCAAGUCAGAUGUGAAAGCCCACGGCUUAACCGUGGAAGUGCAUUUGAAACUGCUUGGCUUGAGUAUCAGAGGGGAAAGUGGAAUUCCCGGUGUAGAGGUGAAAUUCGUAGAUAUCGGGAGGAAUACCGGUGGCGAAGGCGACUUUCUGGCUGAAUACUGACGCUGAGGCGCGAAAGCGUGGGGAGCAAACAGGAUUA